rnacentral:rRNA from 1 species
AACGAACGCUGGCGGCAUGCCUAACACAUGCAAGUCGAACGAGACCUUCGGGUCUAGUGGCGCACGGGUGCGUAACGCGUGGGAACCUGCCCUUAGGUUCGGGAUAACUCCCCGAAAGGGGUGCUAAUACCGGAUAAUGUCUUCGGACCAAAGAUUUAUCGCCUUUGGAUGGGCCCGCGUUGGAUUAGCUAGUUGGUAGGGUAAAAGCCUACCAAGGCGACGAUCCAUAGCUGGUCUGAGAGGAUGAUCAGCCACACUGGGACUGAGACACAGCCCAGACUCCUACGGGAGGCAGCAGUGGGGAAUAUUGGACAAUGGGCGAAAGCCUGAUCCAGCAAUGCCGCGUGAGUGAUGAAGGCCUUAGGGUUGUAAAGCUCUUUUACCCGGGAUGAUAAUGACAGUACCGGGAGAAUAAGCUCCGGCUAACUCCGUG